CUGCGAAUAUUCUCGCUGUUCUGAAUUUGUAAUAAUCAGGGCAGGCUAAACAUUCGCUAUAUUAAGACCAUGCAUGUGUCCCCAGACCUAGUUCUUUUCCUAGGUCUGGUUUUAUAAAUGCUGGUGAUAAAC
rnacentral:snoRNA from 1 species